rnacentral:lncRNA from 1 species
GGACCUGCUUCUUAAAUGAAAAGCUUUUUUUCUUUUCUUUUUAAUCUGAAACUACUCGGAAGCAGAUGAAAGGAUUCCCGAUCACAACCUUGCCAAGGUACUCUUUCAGUAUCUCAAUGUCACCCAUGUAGUCCUGGUUCUCAAUGGUCAGCGUGAUGGGCUUUGCAUCUGAACCAGGCCCUUCGAACUGAAUGCCUCCUGGAGUCCUGUAGAAGUCGUCAAGGAGGAAGCUUGAAGCCUUCUCUCGCAGCAACCUGAAUGAUGCAGGAACAAAGUCAAUCCCGUUCACCUUCCUUCCAGGUCGCAUCCUUUCCUCUACUUAUCGGGGGAAAAAAAAGCAGGACCAGGUAUCAAAGCCCUGAACAAUGUGGACUUACUCAUAAGCCUUCCCUUUCAGGUCAAUUGGAGAAGGGUGAAUGGAAGGCCUCCCUAUAGGGAUUGCUCCAGGGCCACGUAAAUGC